AUUGAACGCUGGCGGCAUGCCUUACACAUGCAAGUCGAACGGCAGCACGGGUGCUUGCACCUGGUGGCGAGUGGCGAACGGGUGAGUAAUACAUCGGAACGUACCUUAUCGUGGGGGAUAACGCAGCGAAAGCUGUGCUAAUACCGCAUACGCCCUGAGGGGGAAAGCGGGGGAUCGAAAGACCUCGCGCGAUUAGAGCGGCCGACGCCUGAUUAGCUUGUUGGUGGGGUAAAAGCCCACGAAGGCGACGAUCAGUAGCUGGUCUGAGAGGACGAUCAGCCACACUGGGACUGAGACACGGCCCAGACUCCUACGGGAGGCAGCAGUGGGGAAUUUUGGACAAUGGGGGCAACCCUGAUCCAGCAAUGCCGCGUGAGUGAAGAAGGCCUUCGGGUUGUAAAGCUCUUUUGUCAGGGAAGAAACACCGGCUCUAACACAGUCCGGGAAUGACGGUACCUGAAGAAUAAGCACCGGCUAACUACGUGCCAGCCGCCGCAGUAA
rnacentral:rRNA from 1 species